rnacentral:rRNA from 1 species
GGACUACCGGGGUAUCUAAUCCUGUUUGCUCCCCACGCUUUCGCUCCUCAGUGUCAGUACCGGCCCAGAGCGCCGCCUUCGCCGCUGGUGUUCCUCCUGAUAUCUGCGCAUUUCACCGCUACACCAGGAAUUCCACGCUCCCCUACCGGACUCAAGCUAUAGCAGUAUCGGGUGGCGUCUCCAGGUUGAGCCUGGAGGUUUCACACCCGACUUACUAAGCCACCUACGAGCUCUUUACGCCCAAUAAAUCCGGACAACGCUCGCCCCCUACGUGUUACCGCGGCGGCUGGCAC